AAGUAAAAAGAUCUGAUUUACUUUGACAAGGGCCAAAUAGUGAUGAUUAGUCAGAGCAUCUCCAUAACAGCAAGUCUUGUGGGGUGUUCCUGGUAUGCAGUGGUUAGUACCUACCAAAAGUGGUGCAUGAUAAACGAUGAACUGGCAUCUGAGUCAUGGGCACCCACGGCUCUUUGAUGCACGUGGGGAGCAACCUUGGGUCCUGGUAUUCAUGUGGAUGUUACUUUUGACAUGUAACAUCUAACUAGAGAUUGUUGCAGACCAUGUACACUCUUUUCAUUGCAAUGGUUUUCCCUGAUGGCAAUGGCCUGUUUCAGCAGGAUAAUGGACCCUGCCACACUGUAAAAAUGUUCAGAAAUAGUUUGAGGACCAUGACAAAGAGUUUAGGGUGUUGUGUUGGCUUCCAAAUCAUCCAGAUCUCAAUGCGAUUG